CAGUAGCCGCGGUAAUACGAACCGUGCGAACGUUAUUCGGAAUUACUGGGCUUAAAGCGCGUGUAGGCGGGCCGCCACGUCGGUCGCUGAAAUCCCCCGGCUCAACCGGGGAAGUGGCAUCGAUACGAGCGGCCUUGAGGGGGGUAGGGGGAUCUGGAACUUCCGGUGGAGCGGUGAAAUGCGUUGAGAUCGGAAGGAACGCCCGUGGCGAAAGCGAGGUCCUGGACCCUUUCUGACGCUGAGACGCGAAAGCCAGGGGAGCGAACGGGAUUAGAUACCCGCGUAGUCCCUGUCUCUUAUA
rnacentral:rRNA from 1 species